AGCUAUUCGUUUCACCUGGUCGCCGAAGCGUCGCCUAGGGACUCAUAAUCCGUUGGUCGCGGGUUCGAGCCCCGCCCGCCCCACCA
rnacentral:tRNA from 1 species